rnacentral:misc_RNA from 1 species
GAAAAAAAUGAGAGGAGAGAAAACAUUCUCCUUCUUUCUUCUAUUAUUCUUUAUCUUAAUUUCACAAACAACAGCCACAAAUUACCCAAUCAAUGUCUGGCCCAAGCCCACAACAUUCCUUUGGCCCAACCCAAAAUCCAUCUUCCUCUCCACAAACUUCACCAUCUCCCACCCGUACCACCGGUACCUCACUCCCGCCGUCGACCGUUACCGCCACCUCAUCCUCUCCGAACACCACCGUCCCAUCAUAACUCCCGCUAUCAACCUCACUUCAUCAAUUCCGUUACAAAGCCUUGUCAUCUCCGUCUCCGAUGUCACUUCACCACUCGCUCACGGAGUCAACGAAUCCUACUCUCUCUCCACACCUUCCGACGGCUCCGCCUCCGCCUACAUAUCUGCGGCGACUGUAUGGGGAGCCAUGCGAGGGCUGGAGACAUUCUCACAACUCGUGUACGGAAACCCUACCAGAGUUUCCGCCGGCGUGUAUAUACACGAUCUACCGAUUUUUACUCACAGAGGUGUGAUGUUGGAUACUUCGAGAAAUUUCUACGGAGUCGAUCACUUGUUAAGGCUGAUUAAAGCUAUGAGUAUGAACAAGUUGAAUGUUUUUCACUGGCAUAUAACUGAUUCACAUUCAUUUCCGCUUGUGAUCCCGUCGGAGCCUGAGCUCGCCGGAAAAGGAGCGUACAGCAACGAGAUGAUGUAUUCGCCGGCGGACGUGCAGAAGAUCGUGGAAUAUGGAAUGGAACACGGAGUUAGGGUUUUACCUGAAAUUGACAUGCCUGCACAUACAGGAUCCUGGGCUGAAGCUUACCCUGAGAUAGUCACUUGUGCAAAUAUGUUCUGGUGGCCCGCUGGAAGUAGUCCAGCUCUUGCAGCUGAACCAGGCACUGGCCAACUGAA